AUUUUAUUCAUUUAUUUAUAUGUGGUGCUGAGAAUUGAACCAGUGCCUCAUAUAAAGCCCUCUACCACUGAACCACAACCUCAGUUCCUGAUGUUUAUGUUUAUAGUGCAAUUAUCAAGAACAAGAAACCAACUUUGAUAUAAUGUUAACUAGACUACAGAUAUGAUUCAAGUUUCACCAGUUUUUCUGCCAGGCUUUGUUUUCAUUCGAGAUUCUGACCAAGAUCCUGUGUUGCAUUUAGUUAUUUCUCCUAAGUAUCCUAUAGUCCAUAACAUUUCCUCUGUCCUUUCUUGGCCUUGAUACAUUUGUUUGUUUUUUGCUGGGACUGAACCCAGGACCUCAUGCCAUGCUAGGCAAGCACUCUACCACUGAGCCACAUCCUUGGUCCCUUGGCCUUGAUAUUUUUAAAGAAUACUGAUCAGAUAUUUACUUUGAGGAGUGCUGGGAUUGAACUGAUUCAGUUAUUUUGUCUAAUGUCGCUCAAUUUAGGUUUGUUCUGUGUUUUUCAGAAUUGGAGUCAGGAUAUGCAUUUUUGGCUAAAAUAUCAGAAACAUUGUUUUUGUGUCUUAUGUGAAUCUCAAUAAAGGAGUCCAAGAUAUUGAUAUAUCUUAUUAUAUGUGAUAUUUACCUUGAUCACUUGGUUUAGUUGGUGUCUGCCAUGUUUCUAUGCUAAAGUUAUUCCUUUUCUAAUUAAUAAUUAUCUUGAGGAAGAUAAUUUGAGAAGAUACAAAUUUUGAUUUUCCUCAAAUUCGAGCCCACUGACUUUAGCAUUCAUUUGUGAAUCUUUUGGUGUUUGUCUAAAUGUGAUUAAUUAGCCAUUCUUUUUUUCCUGCUACAUUUAUGAAUUGAAAAUCUA
rnacentral:lncRNA from 1 species